rnacentral:rRNA from 1 species
UACGGAGGGUGCAAGCGUUGUCCGGAAUCACUGGGCGUAAAGUGUGCGCAGGCGGCAAAGCAAGUCGAGUGUGAAAGCCCCGGGCUUAACUUGGGAAUUGCGCUCGAAACUACUUUGCUGGAGUGUGGCAGAGGAAGGUGGAAUUCCACGUGUAGCGGUGAAAUGCGUAGAGAUGUGGAGGAACACCAAUGGCGAAGGCAGCCUUCUGGGCCAACACUGACGCUCAUGCACGAAAGCGUGGGGAGCAAACAGG